CGAAAUGUCGAAGUUCUCCUUAUAUUUUUUUUCCUCCUAUUUAAUCUGUCCAUUUUCGAAUAAGCUGUUAGCAUCCUCAGACUGAACUUGAUGAAAAUCAUAAAAUUAAUGCACCAAUUUUUAUCAGAGGAUUGCAAUAACAAACUUGCAAUUUAUGCAAAAACAGUAAAUUUGGUUGUAUUUAAUUUGCAUGGACUAAUUAUCCUGUUGGAUUUCUUACAGCUGCAACAGACUAAGCUCGGAUUCCCUUCUAUACUUCGCAAAUGUGUUAACAACGUGGCCAACGAAACUUCGUGAAAUCUCCAUCUGUGAAAAUCCACUUGUGGAGUCUACGAUUGUCAAAGAUUGCUUACAGAAAGUCUUCAAUGUUGUAAUAAUAGAACCUUCUCUUGAUGGUGCUAUGGCGUAUGCAGACUAUCUUAGUGAGAUGUGAAUUAGUUGAAGAAUUUCAAUGACCGUAAAUGUAUAUUUCACCUCAUCCAUCGUACAUGAUACACUUAAUGUCUGCUCCCGAGGGAAAUAGUUAGUUUUGUUUUCCCAAGAAUCUCAAUGUUUCCCGAGACGAAGUCGAGGGAAACAUUAAGAUUCGAGGGAAAACAAAACUAACUAUUUCCCGAGGGAACAAGCAUUAAGUGUUUUGUUAUAUAGCGACGAACAAAAAUCAACUUCAACA